GGCCCAGGAGGUAGAGUACGCUAAAAUGCAAAUUUAGAGACGCACCCGAAGAGGUGCCGGGGCUU
rnacentral:tRNA from 1 species